rnacentral:rRNA from 1 species
CCCGGGCCUUGUACACACCGCCCGUCACACCACGAAAGUCGGUAACACCCGAAGCCAGUGGCCCCAACCCGCAAGGGAGGGAGCUGUCGAAGGUGGGAUCGGUGAUUGGGGUG